AGGACGAACGCUGGCGGCGUGCCUAAUACAUGCAAGUCGAACGCUUCUUUUUCCACCGGAGCUUGCUCCACCGGAAAAAAGAGGAGUGGCGAACGGGUGAGUAACACGUGGGUAACCUGCCCAUCAGAAGGGGAUAACACUUGGAAACAGGUGCUAAUACCGUAUAACAAUCGAAACCGCAUGGUUUUGAUUUGAAAGGCGCUUUCGGGUGUCGCUGAUGGAUGGACCCGCGGUGCAUUAGCUAGUUGGUGAGGUAACGGCUCACCAAGGCCACGAUGCAUAGCCGACCUGAGAGGGUGAUCGGCCACAUUGGGACUGAGACACGGCCCAAACUCCUACGGGAGGCAGCAGUAGGGAAUCUUCGGCAAUGGACGAAAGUCUGACCGAGCAACGCCGCGUGAGUGAAGAAGGUUUUCGGAUCGUAAAACUCUGUUGUUAGAGAAGAACAAGGAUGAGAGUAACUGUUCAUCCCUUGACGGUAUCUAACCAGAAAGCCACGGCUAACUACGUGCCAGCAGCCGCGGUAAUACGUAGGUGGCAAGCGUUGUCCGGAUUUAUUGGGCGUAAAGCGAGCGCAGGCGGUUUCUUAAGUCUGAUGUGAAAGCCCCCGGCUCAACCGGGGAGGGUCAUUGGAAACUGGGAGACUUGAGUGCAGAAGAGGAGAGUGGAAUUCCAUGUGUAGCGGUGAAAUGCGUAGAUAUAUGGAGGAACACCAGUGGCGAAGGCGGCUCUCUGGUCUGUAACUGACGCUGAGGCUCGAAAGCGUGGGGAGCAAACAGGAUUAGAUACCCUGGUAGUCCACGCCGUAAACGAUGAGUGCUAAGUGUUGGAGGGUUUCCGCCCUUCAGUGCUGCAGCUAACGCAUUAAGCACUCCGC
rnacentral:rRNA from 1 species